UGAUGCUGCGCAGGGCUCUUUUGAGGAUAGACAGGGCCUCGUUCAGGUAGAUCAGCACCACUCCGACAUUUGGCAGGUCCUUUGGGACACUACAGUAUUUUCCAGAAGAGGACAGCAGGAUGUACAAAACACAUGUGCUACAUAUCACAGACCAUCACCAUCAGUCCAGUCUUGCAUCUACAAAAUUAAACAGAUUUUUGGAACAUCACCCAGAGAUAGUUUUGUGGUAACACUGGAAUAAUGCUACAGAGGAACAGCGGCUAACAAACUGAUGGUCAUCUCUCCUGGAUCCACAAGAUUUGAAUCAGGGCCACAAACUUACCUCACAGACUAUUUCAAGACGUAAAAACACAAACCUACCUCACAGGACUAUUUUAAGAAGUAAACUGCAAGUCGCAAGCUUGCAUUGGCACAGGUGCCUAUUACAGUUUCUUCCCUAAAUGUUUUUGAUCCAUAUUAUUGAUGCAUAUUGUCAAAAGGUUCUAACUGUACUGUAAUACUUUCGAAAUGGUCUUAAUGCACUUUUUCAAAAUGUUCUUACAUUUGUUUUCCAAAUGUUGUUAAUUCUGCAUGUUCUGCAUUUUCACAGACAGCAGAAAAUACAUUGCAGAUUACAUAAUGUAAAUCUUUUAAAUUGAGUUUUGAGGAAAUUUGAAUCUAACUCAUGGGACUAUUUUAAGUAGUUUUAUGUGUUUCAAAAUUCUCUUACUGUUCUGAGAUUGUAUUUUAAAUGGGUUUUUGCAAGAACAUAAGCAAACCUCACAGGAUAGGUUAAACUCUUAUUUCCUCUGUAUUUGUUGCGUUGGUCUUUUUCUUAGACCCAUUGUGUUAUUGAAGUGUUCAAACUUAUGUGUUAAAGACAGUGUUAAAUAAUAUGGACAUUGGCCCAAAAAGUCAGCUAUAGGUCAUGCCCUGACAAGCAGGUUAUGCUCUGACAAGCAAUUUAAGAAUUUGAGUUUAUCGCCAUAGUCUAAAGCAGACACUACUAGGCUGUUUCUGUUUGCAACUUGAAAUCUCUUCUUAUUUUCUUUUUUCCAUUUUUUGAAAGUAGCAGUAUUCAGUAUUCAUGUUGAUAUUGCCUUUUGAAGUAAUUGAUUUUGAUUCUCUCUAAGUUUUUAUUGCUUAUUUUGCACAAUAUUCACAAAAAAUCUUUAGCAAUUGUCUAUAGCCCUGAGAAUAAUGAAGUUCUAAUAUUACCGUAUUUCUUGUUUACAGUCUACUACUGUAAAAUCAUUUUACGGAUGAAUACCGUAAAAAAACGGUAUAUUGCUGGCGUCCCUGCUGCCAGCUCUUUACUGUUAUUUUACAGGAAAAUUAUUUACCGUGUGUGACUAAUUUAAAUGGACAGGACUAAAAGGUGUAUGUUGUUUUAUUUUCAAAUGAUAUGUAAAUUCCUUCCUUUAUGUAAAGUGAUCAAUUUCCAUAAGGCCCCAUAUUAAAAUGCCAAGCAGAAAUAAAAAUAUUUACAGCCUUUA